UUUCCGGGAUCACCAAGAACCUAUGUUGGUUUUACGGGCUCACCAACGAACCUUCACAAUUGGUUUUACAGGCUUACCAACAAACCUACACCGUUGGUUUUACGGGCUCACCAACAAACCUUUAUAAGGUGAUUAAAAAGAAGAAGAAAGUUGAAACUCCUAGAUGAGCAAAUAUAACAAUUAUAAGCUAUAAAGAAGAGUUUAGAAAAUAGUUAUCGC
rnacentral:lncRNA from 1 species